rnacentral:rRNA from 1 species
CCGACGGGAGGCAGCAGGGAGGAAUAUUGGUCAAUGGACGGAAGUCUGAACCAGCCAUGCCGCGUGCAGGAAGACGGCGCUAUGAGUUGUAAACUGCUUUUGUACAAGGGUAAACCUGAAUACGUGUAUUCAGCUGAAAGUACCGUACGAAUAAGGAUCGGCUAACUCCGUGCCAGCAGCCGCGGUAAUACGGAGGAUCCAAGCGUUAUCCGGAUUUAUUGGGUUUAAAGGGUGAGUAGGCGGUUUGAUAAGUUAGAGGUGAAAUCUCGGCGCUUAACUCGGGAACUGCCUCUAAUACUGUUGGUCUAGAGCGUAGUUGCGGUAGGCGGAAUGUCUGGUGUAGCGGU